UUUGAGUGUAGUUGUUUUUUUAACGUUUAAAAGUCUAUUUUAUUUAAAAAAUUUUAUAAUUAAUAUUUUAUUUAUUAUUAGAUGAUAAAAUAUGAAUAGUAUACUUAUGUUUUUUAAUUUUUUCAAAAAAAUAAAAUAAGAUAAACGAUUAAAAUUGAACACGAAAACUCAUGGCUGCGCUUAAA
rnacentral:pre_miRNA from 1 species